AACGAACGCUGGCGGCAGGCAUAACACAUGCAAGUCGAGCGGGUAUAGCAAUAUAUCAGCGGCGAAAGGGAGAGUAACGCGUAGCUACGUACCCCAGAGACCGGAAUAGCCAGCCGAAAGGCUGGGUAAUGCCGGAUGAUGUCCCUGGACUAAAGGGUGUGAUUCCGCUUUGGGAGCGGGCUGCGUUGUACUAGCUUGUUGGUAGGGUAAUGGCCUACCAAGGCGAUGAUGCAUACCGGGCGUGAGAGCGUGGCCCGGCUCACUGGGACUGAGACACUGCCCAGACACCUACGGGUGGCUGCAGUCGAGAAUCUUCGGCAAUGAGCGCAAGCUUGACCGAGCGACGCCGCGUGCGGGAUGAAGGCCUUCGGGUUGUAAACCGCGAAAGUAGGGAGGAAAUUGCUAGGGGUUCUCCCCUAGUAUUGACCUAUCUUCAGUAAGGACGGGCUAAGUUCGUGCCAGCCGCCGCAGUAA
rnacentral:rRNA from 1 species